UCAAAUGCUGCUCUGGGAAUGUUUCCUGGACGGAAGGCAGGGCCGGGGGCGAGGUGAGCAGGGCCGGCCCCUCCGGGGUCAGUGAAAGAUGUUGGACGGCGGAACAUGUGCUUCCUUCAAGCCAUAUGUCUGCCGACCAUCACCUUUAGAAGUCCCCUGUCACUGAGGGAGCCCACUGGGUCAUGGCCUGGCCAUGGGACCCAACAUGACUUGGCUCCCACUUUUGAGGAGCUGGGUACGGAUUUGUCCUUUCCGGAACUCGUUCUCUCUUUGGUAUUUAAAAGGUGGAUAUUCCUUCUAUGUUUACGUCAUUCAUAGAUAAUCAUAGAGGAAAAUCCAUGUUUUCAGUAUCAAAUGCUGCUUUGGAAAUAUUUCCGGAAGGGACUGUGGGGCACGCCCUGCUCUCAGCCCCCUCGGCCCGGGCGGGUGGGAAAGGCCAUGGUGCACGCCGGGUCCUUCGGGCCUGCGCCUGAGCAUCGCCGGCCUUCUGAGCCAUUUCUUGCCAAGGAGCCAGCUGGGGCAAGGUUGCGCCGUGGGUCUGUGGUCCCGGUUACCUGGAAGCCUGUCUCCCCCGUGUCCCUGUCAUGUCUCAUGCAAGCACAGGUUCGCGUUCUCCGGGACAGAGUCCUUCCUUGGUAUUUAAAAGGUAGAUUCUCCUUCUAUGAGUACAUUACUUACGAUUAAUCAUAGAGGAAAAUCCACGUUUUCAGUAUCAAAUGCUGCUGGGAGACCUCCGAGGACGUGAAGUCACCAUCAAAGAAAUGUGGUCCCCAGGGCCCUCCCGGGACCGUGGCCCAGCUCUGUACGAGAUGGUCCACGUGGCCGUCCGCCCUCAGCGGGCCGUGUUGUUCAGAGGCUACACUCUGUAUUGCUUCAUUGACCUGAAAUGAGCUUUGUUCUCUGUGUGCUAUCAAGUUUAUAAUGUGAUUUUUGGAAUCAACCUCUUCUGCUGUAACCCUAGAGAAUGCCUAGGUAGCCUGUCAAGUUUAGGAAGGGGUGGGGUGGUGGGGGUGCCACUCCCGGGGACAUGGAAGGAAUGGAGCUGUGAUCCAGCCUGUUUAUCUUAGGCUCACCGCUGGAGCUGAUGAUAAUUUUGGGGGGGGGUGUCAAAAGGAUUUAUUAUUAUUUUAAUUUUAUUUUUUCCAUCACCAUUUAUCUCUUCUAUGCCUUCUUCCAUCUCUACCCACUCUUCUCCCCCUGAUGUGAACUUUGUCCCAUGAUAGUGACUUUCCCACCAGUGCUGUCACUGGCUCCUUAAAGGGAGGCUGUCCUCCCUGUGUUUGCAUUGUUUGUAAUGAAUGUACAAGGCAAGCUCUCUCUGGAGAGUGACACCUGCCUGGGGGGCUUCUUGGAGGCAAGGCUAGUGCUGCUCUUGCGUGUGCCAGUGCCAGUGCAUGGCUGACCACGGGCAUGCGCCUCUCUCAUGGGCCGUCUGUGGCUCGGUCCUCUCUCCCAUCUCAUCCCAUGCAUCCUACACAGAACUCUCCGGAAGAAAUGAUGGAGAUGGUGCAGGGGGUUUCUUUUUGUACCUGCUGUUUGUUUAGAAGGUGGUACCUUCCUUUGUGGGCCUUCUUAGUGGCACCCAUGUCUUACCAGACAUGAUGCCAGGCCCUGGGAGGCGACCUCAGGGUCAAUGCCUCCCAGGCAUGCCACCGAAUGGUCAACCGCAAAGUUAGCAUCUAAUUUAAAUUUGGGUCGUCUGGUUUACCACCCUCCACACCCAGCCCAUCCCUGGGCCAACUUCUGGGCCUUAAUGUCCAUUCGAAGUCAAGGGAUGGGUACGGGUGCCCAAAGCGCCAUGUUUUUAUAGGACUUGGCACCGGGACCUGGAAUCCCGUUCCCUCUAGUCCAUAGGCAUUUUCCAUCAUUGGCAAUCGUGAUGGAAAGACUGUGGCAUGACUGAGGCCACCGUCUGUUUCAUUAGAGCGGCCCGUGGGCAUUUCCUCUCCCCUUGGUGAGUCUCGCACUAGAUGACCGCCCUUAACCGCUCAGGCGGCUUCUGCUCACGGUGCCGAGUCCGGGAGAAGGGACUCUUGUCUUCGAGCCGCUGCACGAUUUGUGGAUGCAUGGGCGGUCGUGACGUGUUGGGUUUCCUCUUUUCUUUUUCUCUUUAAUGAUGCAUGCUCUUGUGGCUUCUAACCCCCAGCAGCCCUGUGUCAUCAGGUGCGCUUCCUAGAGGCAGUGGCUUUGGGCAGGGGCUGUCGUUCCUUCCCCAGGGUGGUUUUGCAGGCUCUGAUGGGAUGUCGUACAGGAUUCCUUCCCCUCCACUCUGUCUGUGGGGAGAUAAGCCUAUCUUAGAGAGACACUGGCUAGUACAGCCCAUUCCAGGGCUGGGUCACAGCACGUAGGGUGGAGGGUUGUCGCCGGCCCCACCCCUUUGGUCUCAGGCCCCCCAGGAACGCCCUCUGUGGACGGCACAUGUGGUCCUCACCGGAGCUGCUCUUUGGUACUUGAAAAGAGAAUACCCUUUGUAUGUUCACUUUAUUAAUGGUGAAUGUACAGGGGAGACUCUUAUUUGCGUAUCAAACUGCCCGGGAAGGCGCCCGGACCCAGAAGCAUCUUCAGGACACAGUCGCCGUAAUCAGCCCCAUCAGGUAUGUCCCGCUUCCCGGCCUGCACGCGGUGUCCUCUGUGAGCCUGGUCCCCAGGUCCCCCUCAGGGACUCUCCCGGAGGCCACGCCCUCUGUGCAGGCUUUCUAUUGUCUGCACUGAGUUGAAGGGUGGUUUGCUUUUUAAAAGAUGAACCAUGUUUGGACCUACCUUUUGUCAGUGCCCAGUCACAUCCAGGAGGCUUCCUCACAUCCAGCUCAGGAGAGAGGCCUCGAUGUCAGACGUGUGAAUGACAGUGGACCACAGAGCACCGGCUCUAUUUAUGAUGGUUUCAAGCCUGACUGACUUCUGUGAAUCCAUCCUGGAGGACUUCCUGGAGGUGGCGUCUGCCUUUGGGAAGAGGUGGAGGUUUACUCAUCAGUAGUCCUCAUUGGUGUUUGGUGGAUAUUCUCCUUGUAUGUGGCCCAUGAGAUGAAUCUGUAAGAGCUAUUUCUGUUUGUGAUUUGUGGUUCAAGUCCCACCUGGAGACAGUGUCCUCCACAGGAACUGCACGGCUUUGGGGAGAAGCCAGGCAGACAUCUCCCUGGGCCAGGUACGUGGAUGUUGGAAGGUCAGAGGGAAGGGCUUCUGUCUCGAUGUUUGUCCUCUGGCCCUCUGACCUCCUGUAUCUGCUCACUCCUAGGAUGCUGGCCGGGACAAAGGGGCUCUGGAGCUGUGUUGCUGGAGACAUUUCUUGGGCCGCGUGACUGCUUUGCUCGCCCUGACAGCCAUGGGGGUCACCUGGCCCUGAGGCCAGCAUCAGAGGAGGCGUGUGGCAAUGUCUCUCUUGUCAAGGAGAGUGAACGUCUUCCUCUGGAGGUCAGCCCCAAGGAGGCAUUCCUGGAACCCAGGCCGUCUUGCCCUUGAGACCCUGACUCGCGAACCCGAGACGCUCUGCUUCAUCAGAAGAGGUAUUUAUUACCUGUGAUGGCUUGGCUUACACCACACGCGUGGAUCUGUUGGCUUCUGAUUCUUUCUUUCUUUAUUUUGGGACCCGUUUUUAAAAAGUUAAACGUAUUGGGGGUGAUACUGGUUAAUAAGAUUAGAUAGGUUUCCACUGCACAAUUCUUAUCAGAUCCAUCCAUGGAGAAGGCUUUUAUUUUAUUUAAUUUUUUUGUUUUAGGGUUUGAACCUGCUUUGGAAGUCUUUCCAAAACGGUUCUAAUUUGGGAGUGUGGACCUCGGUAUCUGGGUCACGUCUAGGCCCCGGGACCAGGGCGCAGGACCGGGUGACGGGUGCCCACACCUGUACUCAUUACAGGACUUGACCACCUGGCUCGCUGGCCCUCGGGACUCAGCGCACCCUGAGAGGAAUGUUCCAGAGGAACGCCGAUGGUGGGGAGCGGCCGCGGUUUGCCUUUAGCUUAUUCGGGGAUGUUUGAGGAGAGGUUAUCCGUGCUAUGUUCGCUCCAUUCGUUAUGAAUAAUACAUGGUUAACUUCUUCUUGAACAUCAAACUCUGCCUCGGAGGGCCACCCGCACAGGAGACGUGAGAGCGUGUGCCUUGCGUGUGCGUGUGCCGGGCUGGUCCCGAGAGUAGAGGGGUGCUUCCCGGCGGGGGGCCAGCAUGGGACACGUGGGGUUGGUGUGCUGUGUUUUUUGCAGUGAAUUUGAUGUGUUUUUACGAUUUGUCCAGUCACCCCCUGCCACUGCUGACCUGCCUGGGAGUGCGGGGCCCGGGGAUGCGGUGGGUCCGUGGGCGCCUGACCAGGGAGGCUGCCCCCAGGCGUCGCGCUCUCCCCAGCACUGACCUCCGUACCGUCCUUUGCAGGGUGGCUCCUGCGCCCUCGGCUGCCCCGCUGGACAGGAUGUAGCUGCCGCUCCACGGGGACACCUGAGAGCCUCCUUCCUUCACCGAGGUUUCUCUGCGGGCAGUCUGUGCUCAGGGUCGGGAUGUCCCCAGGAUGCCCCCAGGUAUGUGAAAGACAGGCCAGCUUCUACUACCCAGCGGGUUCUCUCCGAGGUCGCUGCCCUGGUGUCCCUGUCCUCCUCAGGUGGACUUCCUGGAGGCGCCGCCGCAGAGCCCGGGGGCUUUCCUGUCCUUCCACUUGGUACCAGAGAGGCCUGAUCUGAGCUGCGGUCCCCCCGCUCCUCCGUGGUGAAGAGGGCAGGGCCGGCGCCUCUGCCUCCACAGCUCUGCAGUGUCCCCUCUGGGGCUGCGACACCGGCUUCCGAAUCCCCUUGCUUCUGGGGCAGGGAGGCCAGCCCAGCGCCCGGGUUUGGUGGGGGGUGGGUGUCACCUGUGCCCAUCACCUGCAGGCUCUCGUCUGUGUGGAGGGCGACAUCCUGCAGCUGCCGCCAAACCCGGCUGCUUCUUGUCCUCCUGACUUGACCCGAUUUGCGGUGGCCCUCACGGUGAGUGCUUCCCUGGAGCCGGGUCAGGAUGGGCGCUUGCUGGGGACGCCAGCUUCACAGUAAGAGGCCCGCCAGCCUCGCCCUGAGGUAUGUGGAUACACAGUCGACCCCGGUCCCUGCCUGUCACUGACGAAUAUGCUUCCCGUCCACUAACGCAGACAAUUCGUUCCGCCUGCAGGAGGAGACCGGAGAGACGCCUGCUUGGCACAGGCGCCAACGUUCUCAUCAGUGUCAGCGCGUGGGGCUCAACCCGGGACCAUCUGGGAGCUGUUUCACUGUUGGUGACAGAUAUCACCCCGUGGAAAGUGGUGUGGAGGUGUCCCAGCUUCGGGGAAGGGAUGGGUGUCUGCCCCGUCCCACAGUACCUGGGGGAGGGUCCAUGGGGUGAAGGACACUGUCCAUCUUUAGGGGACCCGUGCGGAUCAGGCCUUCUCAUGCUCAGCUCCACCCCAGCUCCCUCGGAGAGAGAACUGUGGUCGGUAUCUGUCGCAUACAUGAAAUGGUUUUCCAGCUCCCAGUGUCCAUCCUGCCCACGGGACCCCCUGGAAGAAAGGACACCUCCUUUCAGGGCAAGGUUUUGCCGCCAGUGUCAAUCCAAGGUUUAGGGAGGACUGGCAUGACCCCUGACCUUCCCUAGCAGCCAAUCUACCCAUGAGAGGAGGCAGGGGGGCUCCUACUCUGCCACAUCCAAGUGGGUGCUGCCCGCUGUCCGCUGCAGGGUCAGCCUAGCACGCUUCCUCUGUCAUAAACGGGAUGCUGGGUUAGUCCUUCCUGGGUGUAACUUGGCUUCGGGAAGGAUCACCUGCCCCACAACUUGAAAGAACGGUCAUUGCAGAGCCUGUGCCUUGAGCAGGAUUAAGUCGCGUAGCCCCCGGGCCGCAGCAUGGAGGCCUGGACGCUCUGCCCCGGGCUGAGCAGUGUCUCGUGGACUCUUGGGACUUCACUGUGUUUGUGGCUAAUCACAUCGGAGCUGCUGUUUUUCAGGACAGACCCCCGCCUGGAGAUGUGCCCCACAGGACCCCAGCAGGGCGUUGUCCAUGAUAGGGGAAUGGAUGGUUGAUCAGAGAACAUACAUUUUAUCAAUGAUGUAUGUCAACUGAUCCACAGUCCCUACCUAUCCAGUGACUUCGGGACAGAUUCCGGAAGAAGAGGUGUCGUUUCCUUCUCUGUGCUCGUACCUGGCCCCCGAAAAGACCUCCUCCUUGCUGGGUUGGCGCUGUUUACGCUGAGUUGUACGAGGGAAAUAGUUACAGUCCUGAUCUUGCCUGGGAAGCUUCCUGGGAAGAGCUGUUGGCCUCGGCUGCUUCCCGAGGACAGGAAUGCAUGGUCGUCCAGAGAGCAUGAGCCUUAUAUAGGACGGGCGCCACCCGGUUCUCCUAACCCUCAGUCCCCAAUUCGUCCUUAGGGGGACUAGCUGGAGGCAAGGCCCACUCCGGUGAAGACGGCUCAUCGGCGUAGCCUUCGGUACUUGAAGAGUGGUUAUCCCUGCUGUGUUCGCUGUAUUUAUGACGAAUCAUACAGGGACAUCCAGUUUUUCAGUAUCAAAUACUGCUUUGGAGGGCUUCCCAGACAGCAUUGCACCUUCAGAGAGGAGGUCUGGGCUUCUGUGCCUGCCCAAGGUAUGUACGUGGACGGUGGAGCUCGGCGCACAUGCUGCCUCGUGCUGCGUGGCCUUCGGCGCACCCGCGACCGGAAUCGAACCUCUGCAGAGGUGGCCGCCCAGGUGGGCUGCGCUCUUCCAGAAGGGGUGUUGGUUUCAGCACCAAAGCAUCCUGGGAGGCUGACCAGUGAGAAUCCUAUUCCCACAAAACACCUGGCACCUGCUCCGAAGGAACCCAAUCCUUUCGUAGGCUGGAUUCCUGGAGACGGUGCGAGCAUGAGGUGUGGCAGUGAUCUUGUCCGAUACCUAAGUGCAUUUGCUCCAGGGAGGGCUCUCUUUGAGGGUCAUCUCUUGCCCAGGAAAGCUUUCUGAAAGGAGUGCCAACGUGUUGGCAUCACACCCUCCCGGCGCACGUUGAGAGUUAGUUGAGCUGAGUUCCUCUUUGCUCCUCCUGACGGGUCUCAGUCGAUUCGCUGUCCUGCAGAACCCGCCUGUGUUUAUAAUCGCUCGGGGUGGGAUGAAUACCUGUUUGGGGCUUGAUGCCUUUUCAGUAGGCGCCUGGUGUUUCAAUGGUUGCCCUUUUUUCAUGAUCAGAUUCUCUUGUAAUUCACAUAACUACAUGGUCCUUGAAUUUGGUCCAUCAACGAGGAAUGAUUCAGUCAUUCCACAAAUAACGACUGGGUACGCGCUGAAUUCUAGAUGACCCAGGCUUUAGCCGUUUUUCUCUAAAGUUGGGGGUAGAGCUGUGAGCAAGACCAAACCCUUGCUCACGUGCAUUUCACAAUCUGGUGAGAAAAAUGGAUAAUAAAACGCAAACUAUGAAACAAAAUUUUGUCCACAGUAAGUGUUAUGGAGGAAAGGAAAGCAGGGUAAGGUACCAGAAAGAGGCAAACGUGGAGUGGACAUUUAUGUUAAAUAUAGGGGUCUGGAAAGGUCUCUGGGGAGAGGAUGGGCCAGAAGUUCUACAGGUGGGAUCGUUGCUGAGUUAGGGUUCUAGAGCAAGUCAGUGGGUAACCACGGGACUCAUGGAGAAGGUGCUGUGACCAGCAUUGCCAAGAUCCAAGCUGAGGCAGUGACCCUGGCACAGAAGGGCCAGGUGGGAUGGAGGCAAAGGUAGUUAGAAAUGAGGAACUCACCAGGCCAAGGCUGGGGAACUGUGGGCUGCAUCGAUGGCCAUGAGCACUGGGCUCUUAGGGUGGUGAAUUCAGGAAACGGGACCUGGUCCUACCGGUCCAAGCUUGUUUGAGAGAUGGUGGGUCAGUGGCUUUUCAUGGCAUCCUUCUUGGAAUUGCUUUCUUGGAUGGUUCGUUGGGAUGAGAUGAGUGGUGGAGCAGAGGGGAUGGGAAGGGACUCGGGGUCCCCUGGGAUGGUGAAGAGCUUGGUGAUCCUCCCUCAGAUCUUCCUGAGGGUGCGUCAAGGCCCCAGCUGAGCCGACUCUCCAGGAGCACCCUGCAGUGGCCACAGGGCUCUCUCUGGAGCUGCCCCCAGUUCAGUGGAUCCCGUAAGUCACGAGGGGGCUUGGCUAGUGCCUCUAUGUGCUUGAUGGAUAACUGAGUGUGCUCUGUUGAGAAGUCCAAGGUCCCUGUUCAGAAACCCUUGCGUCCACAUACAUGAAGAACUCCUGUGACAAGUUCACACUGUGAAGGACAACAGUGGCCUCCCUCUUCUCAUUUCUGAACCCUGCCCCUGAUGACUCAGGAACAGUUUCAACCCCAGGGCAGGGGGCUGUGUCGGCACCCCUCCAGAAGAGGACCACGCCGGAGGCCACGCCCCUCAGAGAAGUAGAAGGGGACCCAUGUCUGUCUGGUCUCUGCUUUUCUGUGGUACUUGAGGAGAAGUUGUUCGUGGUGGAUUCGCUUUACUUAUGACGAAUCAUUCACGGACAACACUUUUUUCAGUACCAAAUGCUACCUCUAAGGGCUUCCUGGACACAGCGGGACUCCAGGAAGACGUCUUCACGUUGUCAACCAUGUGGAGAAGACAAGAACAGAUGCUUGGCCAGGGACACCAUGCUUGACCUAGCUAGUCACCCUCCAAGACUUUGAAGAGCAGCUUCCCCGGCCCAAAGCCAACUUCUGGAAGAGAUGCUGGUGUGAGCACCAUCCAGGGUGUGUGACUGGUUUGACCAGAGGGGCAAGCACUGUUCACCCUGUGGGCCACCUAGUCACCAACCCUCAGCACCCCACCCACCCAGGAAGACUUUGUGGAGGUCCUGCCAACUUGGGGCAAGCAGAAAUGGACUUGUGGCAGUGGCUGUUUAUUGGACCUGGACAGCCGUGGUUGGGAGGGUGUGUGUUCACUUAAAAUGUGAUGAAUCAUCCUUUGGUUGCCACUUCAUCACUGUCACUGUCACAGCCUCCUCGAAGCAUUCCUGGGAUUCGACAUUGCCUUCUACCGAGAGACCUGAAGCUCGCGGGCCACCUCCUCUCCAUGGAGUUGGUCAUGGUUCAUCUUAAGAGCCAAAGGGCUACCGUGACGUGCUGACUUUAUGGCAGCCGUCAAACGGUGCCCCUGUUGGCCAGGAGGACGAACUGCACCCACCCACUUAGGGGCUCCCGGGAGGGGCGGCGCCUUGCAGGAGGGACGAUGGAUGGCUCACCAGCAUUCAUUUAUGGUACUUGGAGAGAGGCUGGCCGUGAUGAAUUCGAUUCAUCAAAGCGAGUCAUACACGGCUCUCCUCUCUUUUAGUAUCAAAUUCUGCCUCGGAGGGCUGCCUGAGCUAGUGCUGAUGGCGAGGUAUGUGCCCUGCUGGCUGAGCCCUCGGCAAGUGCUUUCCUGAGGAUGCACGCUACCUACGCACUAACCCAGUGUCCGCACUGACCCUAAGGCGACUUUCUGGGGCACUACCAACUUUAGGAGAAGCUAGAGAGGUUGUGGGGAUGCUUAACUUGUAAAGAAAUUAACAUUGAAAUGCACAUGGCUAACUUUCUUUGCUAUCAAAUGCAACCUUGAAGGGGCAUGUAGAAGCAUCUUUUCUUAGUCAGCUCUCGGGAUAUAGAAGAGAACAGGACAUAGGACCUGCAUGACCCCUCAUUUACUAGCCUGCAGCAGCCCUACCUCCUCCAGGGAACUCCUGGGUGACCCCAGGUUUACCAAGGAGGCAGCGGUUAACCUGUUCUUGCAAACCUGUGGUCUUUCAAGAGCUCUUUGCUUCGUUUAGAAUGACUCCUAAGUGGCUGACUUCUUUGCAUUACUGAGUGUUGCUUGCAUGCUAGCCAAGUACAGGAAGUGGCCUUCCUGUUCACACUAAUCCCGGAUUGGUGAACCAGGGCUUGGCCGGAGAGCAUGGGUUUGAUUUAGGAAUUGAACCAGUUGGUCCACUCAUCCUCAGUGUCCCAUCCACCCUCAGAGCCACUCCCAAGCUGCCCAGACUUCGUGGAUGCAGGGAUGCUGUGAGCAGUGCCACCUCAUGGUACUUGGAGGGA